rnacentral:lncRNA from 1 species
UGGGUAAAAAUGCUAUAUAGAUUUGAGAAAUAACCUACAUGAUCAACAUAUAUAAGAGUAGAAUUGACAUAUAGUAAGCCUAACCUGAGAUAAAUUUUGUACAACAAUUUUUCCCUUUUAUUGGCACAUUCUUGCGGCAUUAUAUGAAACUAAAAUCCAUCCAUGUUCUUAAAUUUCUUCUCAUGAACAAUGAAAAUAACUUGAUGCAAGCUCCCUUUGAAGCUAUUUCAAUGAAAAUGUGCUUUGGAAAACUAAAAGGUAAGACCAAAGUGAAAGCAUAAACAUUAUCUUUGAAAUACCACUACCAUGUAGGAGCACUAGUUUCAUGACAAUCCAAAAUAGCUAUAGCUAAAU